UCGUGGAGUGAUUUGUCUGGUUAAUUCCGAUAACGGACGAGACCGUAUGGAAUAGUUGGAUGGGCCCAUCUUUUGAUGGGUUGUAUGAGACUUUGUCUCCCAUCCGCCUAUUCCGACUACUGAAUUCAAUUCAGGGGAAGUAUGGCAAUAACA
rnacentral:rRNA from 1 species